rnacentral:rRNA from 1 species
UACGUAGGGUGCAAGCGUUAAUCGGAAUUACUGGGCGUAAAGCGCGCGCAGGUGGUCUUUCAAGUCAGUGGUGAAAGCCCGGAGCUCAACUCCGGAAAUGCCAUUGAAACUGUAAGACUUGAGGAUGAGAGAGGUGAGUGGAAUUCCCAGUGUAGAGGUGAAAUUCGUAGAUAUUGGGAAGAACACCGGUGGCGAAGGCGGCUCACUGGCUCAUAUCUGACGCUCAGGCGCGACAGCGUGGGGAGCAAACAGG